rnacentral:rRNA from 1 species
UACGUAGGGGGCAAGCGUUGUCCGGAUUCAUUGGGCGUAAAGAGCGUGUAGGCGGCCUGAAAGGUCAGCUGUGAAAACUCGAGGCUCAACCUCGAGACGUCGGUUGAAACCGUUUGGCUAGAGUCCGGAAGAGGAGAGUGGAAUUCCCGGUGUAGCGGUGAAAUGCGCAGAUAUCGGGAAGAACACCCGUGGCGAAGGCGGCUCUCUGGGACGGUACUGACGCUGAGACGGCGAAAGCGUGGGGAGCGAACGAGAG